rnacentral:rRNA from 5 species
AACGACUCUCGGCAACGGAUAUCUCGGCUCUCGCAUCGAUGAAGAACGUAGCGAAAUGCGAUACUUGGUGUGAAUUGCAGAAUCCCGUGAACCAUCGAGUCUUUGAACGCAAGUUGCGCCCAAAGCUUUCGGGCUGAGGGCACGUCUGCCUGGGCGUCAUGC